rnacentral:rRNA from 1 species
UACGUAGGGGGCAAGCGUUGUCCGGAUUUACUGGGCGUAAAGAGCGUGUAGGCGGCCUCACAGGUCCGUUGUGAAAACUGAAGGCUUAACCUUCAGACGUCGACGGAAACCGUGUGGCUAGAGUCCGGAAGAGGAGAGUGGAAUUCCUGGUGUAGCGGUGAAAUGCGCAGAUAUCAGGAAGAACACCAAUGGCGAAGGCAGCUCUCUGGGACGGUACUGACGCUGAGACGCGAAAGAGUGGGGAGCAAACAGG